CUGACAGCGCACGGCAAGGCCGCCCCUCAGCCCUCCUCAGCCCGUCUCGGAGCGGCGCCCCCCGCCUCCCCCACGCCGCACCGCCGAGCGCAACAGGUCCGCCCCGCUCCACCAGCUCCCCCGCUUCGGCUCGGCCUCGAGUCCCGUCCGGACACGGCGGCUCCAUCGCCCCGCUCCAUCAUCAUCAUCAUCACCCCGCUCCAUCAUCCCGCUCCAUCUUGACUUUUGCCGACGUGGAAAUUUUGGGUUCGGGGACGAGCCGUUCUCUUAUUGGCCAGAGGCGGGCGGGUUCGGAGGUCACGGCUGCUGUCGCCGCUCCUCGCCAAGGCGCCUCGCUCCGAGGCCACUCCCCCAUCCCGCAGCACACACGCCCACCGCCCCCCGCGGGCGGGGCCGGCAGUUGAGGCCGUUGUUGGCGGGGGGAGGGAGCGCUGAGGGACGGGCUGUGUGUGGGGGCUGUGUGAGAGCGGCCCCUGCUCGGCCUCGGGUAGUUGUGGUGCCUGCCCCGACUGAGGGUUGUGAGCAGUGUCACACUUGAUUUGCAGGCAUGUUCCCUCAGCCUGAUGUGCCUGACGUGCAAACUCAGGUGGAUCGGUUUCCUGAACUCCUUUGUCUGCAGAGCCAGAAAUGGCAAGUCUUGGGCGAGCCUUUCUGCUGUGUCUAUGAAGCGUGUUCCUGCCUUCCUGCCUGCGCCUUCACUGUGCCGCUCGUGCCUCAGCCCUGUCCCAUCCCGCUCCAUUUUGCCAUGGAUGGAUUGUUUCCUGUCUUCCCAUUCCUGCUCUAUCCCUGGCCCCACAGCGUGCUCCCCUGUGCUAGGCCACAGAGUUGGCCUUGGUUACGUUGUUGCCACCGCCGCGUGUAUGAGAAUAUUGAUUUUACAGUGUGUGUGCUCUGUAAAAAAUCAAUAUUUCAGUAGAUUGAGCAGAGCAUGCGGCGGUGUAAUGGAGCCCAGCCUGCUAAUGUAACAUGCAGGGGUCCUCAUUCAGAGAUUGAGGUCAGUCAGAAAAUGGAAAUGUGUUUUCUUGUUUUAUUGUCUGUUUCAGAUUUAACGUAGGUGUUUAUGUUUUCGUGUUUAACCUAUAGCAGCCAUAGAGUUGCUUUGAAUGUACAUCCAGCAGACGACGUGCAUAAAGACAUGCCUCGGUUGGACAGCCUGUUUUUAGAGCUUAGUAAAUCCCCUCUUCCCCUUCCCCAUCCAUUAAGCAACAGCUGUGAAGAGAAAUCAGUCAUUUUUGCUUCUUCAAAUAAAAAAUAGUUCUCUGUCAUUUGGUGCAAACUUGUGUUCUGAGAACGUAAUUAACCAUUUGCGGUGCUUUUAAUGAGUGCUGGUGUAACUGCAUGAAUCAAACAGCUUCAUAACUGGGGACGAGUGAAAACAACGAGGGAGGGAGGAGAAAUAGCAAACGUACAACAGAAAACCAGAGUAACAACCCCACUGAUUUAAACGGGGCUGGGAUUUUAGGCAGAGUGUUCUCUAUGGUCCAUUAUCUGCUUCUGAAAUCAUUGCAUCAUUCCUUAACGUUUAGCGAAAGCAUUUCUCGAAACGACACAUGAAACCACUGCAUUCCCUGGUGCAGAGUCAAGAUGAGUGCAAGCUGGCUGUGGUUUCACAUCGUCACGGAGGCUUGGUACAGCUCUAUCAGUCCUUAAUCAUUUUAUCUUCUGCCUUUGUCAGCGGCUAUUUCUCACCUACCACAUCCUCCCCCUGCAGCAGUGAAUACAGACCUGCUCAAUGUGCACAGGCGUGUUAUGUCUGUGUUACCAUGCUUUGUGCUGAAUGGUGCGCAGGCAGAGAUGAGGUGGGGCCCACAUGUAAAAAGGCAAAGGUGUUUAUUGGCCCUCAUUGGUUGGAGGCUGACAGGCAGUCCUGGCUGGGGAGGUUUGCAGGACUGGAGCUGUAGCAUCAGCUUCCAGUUACAAUUCUGGUUUAAGACGUGGCUGAUGUAAAUGGCUUCCAAAUGUAACAUGCCGUUACCCACAGUUGCUUACUGCAUGGGAAUUUCUUAAGUAUCACUUGAUUUUCUUCAGUCACUGGCUUAUAUUUCUAACGUUUAUAUAUCUCACUAUUAUGAACAAGCAUUCAUUAUUUUCAA